UUCGAUAUGUUUACGUUUUGUGCAGCUCGAUUCUGUUCGCGACAAAAACAUUGUAUUUAUUCGGUGUUACUUAUUCAGUGAAUGGUUUCGGAUUACAAAGUGUAAAAUGUAAAGUUGCGGUGACGAAGUGUCCUUUAACUGCCAGCACCAACGUGCGAUGGAAUUAAGGAGAAUGCAGUGGAACAAUCGAAAUUAUGUUUCAGAGAUACGAUACGUGUAACGUCAGAUCGAAUGGACAAUCGAAUUAUUGGCAAGCGCGUAUAUGCCGAAGCAUGUCAAUACAUUUCGUUAGUGCGGUGUCAUUCAAAAUGGGUGGAAGCUAGCUCUUUGGCGUCUGGAUGUUUCGCAGCAGGCAAGCCGGCCGGUAGACAGGUACCUACCUGGAAACGAGUAACUACUUAUUGUCACCUCUAACGAGGCCGCAACAAAAACUCAGCUAUUCGCAGGUGGGAAUGCUGCCAGCUUAUGAAAGUAUCAAUUACCUUCUACGUCCAGUUUCCUAAUGAGGGGAACAGAGCCAUGGAUUACCGAGUCGCCAUAACUGUGACUCCUAGAUCCGUUGCGAUUUUUUCAUAGAUCAACAUGGACAGCGUUCGCCAAUCAGCUGUUUACAUUCACAGAGUCUAUAUUUCUUCUCAACCAAUCGUGGCAAGCCUGUUACACAAGAUUGUUAUUACGUAUUAUAUUCGCCUUUAAAUGAAAUCGAACUGUAUGUACUUUCAUGUUAUAUAUGUCGGUAACGUUAUAUGUUAUAUAUGUUAGUUAUGCAUGAGAUUUAUACGUAGACAAAAAGGCGUGGUUUUCGUUUCGUGUAUUUUCGAUUAUAAAAAGUCAUAUAAUUUCUGAAAGUCUUAUACUUGAAAGUGUAUCGUUUAAAUGCUUCGUCUAUUGUUAGUGUCUGCUGUUACUUCGUAUUUUUGUUAUAACCUUUUAACAAAGCGCAUAAGUUUAUGUUCAUAUGACAUUUUUUGUUAUUUUUAUUCAAAGAACGUGCUGAUACUACUUUAUGGAAGAAACCCAGUAUAUCCUGUAGGUCUAAUAUUAUAUCGUAUGUCAUGACAUUGCCAGGAAGAAUAAGACAAAUCAAUUCAGUAACA